AAAGAUAUCAGAUUGCUAUUAUUAGACUACAUAAUAAAAAAAUUAAUUUUUAUUUUGGAUUUAUUUAAAAGUAAUUGAUCACAAAAUAAAAAACUUUAAAACAAUUGACCCAGGGCCGGCCUCGUUCGUCCUUUUAUAUAGAAUUGCAGGUAAAGAUCAUGCCCAGAACAUGUUUGAUAAAAUACUCAACGAGGAAUGCAUCCACCUGGUAUGUUGAAUAUGAUCGAUCUCAGCUUGAUUUGGGCUCAGAACAAACGAUAAAUAGACAAAGGAAUGAUUAAAUGGAAUUUGCAGGCCAGUUUCAAGAGAGGAGUUGUUGAGGAAUUAUGGUAUAAUUCUCGUGCCUAGGACGUGUUCGAUAAUAUGCCUACGAAGGAAUGCGCAUGCCCAUUUGUGGCUGAACACAGAAUGUGUUUUUUGUUUCUUUGUUGUUUUUUGCGAAUCUUUGGCUUAAUUUACAAUUCAUGGCAUGUCUGAAAAUGGGUAGAUGAAUAUAUUAAAUAUGGACUCAGAUUUAUCCAUGAAACAAUCAAGAGGAUUCAACAUUUGAUUUUUAUUUUUCUUUUCUCCACCCCCAUGUUUAAUUUUGG
rnacentral:lncRNA from 1 species